UUUUUUUCUCCUUUGGAGACAGGGUCUCACUUUGUCAGUCAGGCUGGAGUGCAGUGGCACAAUCAUAGCUCACUGGAGCCUCGACCUCCUGGGCUCAGGCAAUCCUCCUCCCUCAGCCUCCUUGAGUAGCUGGGACCACAGGUGCACCCCACCGUGACCAGCUGAUUUUUUAAUUAUUUGUAGAGAUGGGGGGGCCGGGGGAUCUCACUAUGUUGCCCAGGCUGGUCUCAAACUCCUAAGAUCAAGGGAUCCUCCCACCUCAGCCUCCCAAAGUGCUGAGAUUACAGGUGUGAGCCAUUGUACCUGGCAGAAAAGAUCAUUUUUAAAAACUUUUGUUAACAUUCCACCACAUGCUUGGUGUGCCUUGGAUUUCUGAGGAUAGACUUACAGUCAUCUGAUGAGCUAUUUUUCAUAUUUUUAAGAAUCAGAGAAGACUAUAAUAUUUAUUCCCUCAGCCUUUUUAUUUCUGGCAAUAUGGAGCAUUAGAAAAUUUUAAGAACCCUCCAGCUAUAAAGGACACAAGUAUGUUGGACAACAUAAUACAAACAUUCAUUGAAAUGCAUACCAAAACUCCGUGGAAAGGAAAAGAACUCUAGGGACAGAAACAGAGCACCGGAGGCAGGCAGUAGCUCACACAGGGGAGUGCCAACCUCGCCAUCCAGAAGUCAAGGUUUAAAGCCCAGCUGAGGUCAAGGAAUACAAGAAAAGAAGGUAGAAUGAAGAAUCCCCCCUUAACACGGCACUGCUCAAUGUGCAACCCUUUGAUGAAAGGAUGAACUAGAAAAAAAGCAGCCCAUGGCAAACAAACAUAUUUGUCUUGGACUGGGCACAAGGUAUUAAAAAAAAAAAAAAAAAGUUUGUGCAAAUUUAUAACCUUGGGCCUGUCUUGAAAUAGAUACAGACUUUGAAUUGAGAGGAUCGCCUAAACUAUGAACUUUUACACAGGAAGUGGUCACAGGCUGAUGCCAUCCUGAGGUUAUAGGCUAAAGCAAACAACAACCUCAAGCCAGGCCAGACAGAAUUCCUACAAAUACAAAUUUAACAUGAGCUCCCUUUCCAAAAUUAUAAAACACAAAAGAAAAAAUUCACUGUGAGACAGACCCUGCAGCUACAGCAAGCAGCACUAGUAAGCACCAAAGAACUUCAGUAAAUUAACAACUGAAAGGCAUUAGAAAAUGAAUAGGUUUAAGUAAUUAUGAACAAAAGAAGGAAUCUGAAGAAUAUAAAAAGAACAAUGCAAACUCUAAGAAGAAAAUGUGAAAAAGGAGUAGAAUUUGGAGAAUGUCCAUCAGGGCUGUGAAGUAUACAGUGUCAGAUCUCAAAGCACAGCUAUUUGCUUCAUCCUUCCUCCCUUCUUUUCUUCCAUUCAUUCAUUUUCCCCAAACUGAAAUAUAGAAUAAAAACCCAUGGAGAACCACAAGGAGACACCACUACACAACUACCAGGAUAUCCAAAACUAAAAAGACUAAUACACCAAACACUGGCAAACAUGUGAAGCAACCAGACCUCUCAAACAUCACUGGUGGGAGUAUAAAAUGGUACAAACACUUUGGGAAAAGGGCUGGCAAAAAGCUUCGUGGCAAAACAGAAACUCCAUGCAAACCAACAGGACACGGACACACUGGUGUGUGCAUGUGAAUGUGCGUGUCUGUGUUUUGCUUUGAGAGUAAAAGGAGGGCUAUGGAUGUUUUGUAUUCCAGAAAUACCCACAUCCCGGCUGGGCGCCGUGGCUCACGUCUGUAAUCCCAGCACUUUGGGAGGCUGAGGCGGGCGGAUCACGAGGUCAGGAGUUCAAGACCAGCCUGGCCAACAUGGUGAAACCCCGUCUCUACUAAAAAUACAAAAAUCAGCCAGGCGUGGUGGCACGCGCCUCUAAUCCCAGCUACUCAGGAGGCUGAGGCAGGAGAAUUGCUUAAAUUUGGGAGGCGGAGGUUGCAGUGAGCCGAGAUCGCAUGCCACUCACUGCACUCCAGCUUGGGCAACAAAGUGAGACUCUGUCUCAAAAAAAUUAAAAUAAAAUAAAAUAAUAAAUAUCUACAUCCAGAUACAGACCAUGAAAAAUACUCUUUCUGGGGCAUAAAAUAUUCAUUGAAAUUUCAUAGGCAUUUAUUUUGUUUAUAAAACCACAAACACCUGCACUAUGACCCAGCAAUUCCAAUCCCAAGAGAAAUGAAAACGUAUGUUGGAAAACACUUGUAAAAUGUUCAUAGCAACUUUAUUUAUAAUAGCUCCAAACUGGAAACAGCUGCCCAUCAGUAAGAGAAUGAGUGAACACACUGGUGUAUGAACACGAUGGGAUACUACUCAGCAAUAAAAAUGAACUACUGAUACACAUGAAUGAAAACCGCAUGAACGAAAUGCAAAAACGUGAUAAGUGAAAGUCGCCUUAUACAAAAGCAUACAUACUAUGUAAUUCUAUUUAUAUGACGGUUCAGAAGUCAAAACCAAUCUGUGUCAGAAAAAGAACACUGGCCGCCUGUGAGCACGGUGAGGCUGAGUGGGCAGGGGCAUGAAGGAACUUUCUGGGGUGAUGAUAAUGUUGUAGGAUAUCAACGGGGGCUAGGGUUGCAGGCAUACGCAUCUGCCCAUACUCAGCAGAUGUACUCCCAACAACAGCAGGUAAAUUUUACAUCAAAAGACAAACCUGUAAACAUAUUGAACUCUAGCUAUGGUAUGCAUGCUGAAGUAUUUCGAGAUGUGUACUGAUGUGUACUUGGAAAUACAUCAAAAAGUCAGACAAUGACGGACAGAUGACGGGAAAGGAGAUGGAGAAUUACACGAUGAAGCAAGCGGUGUUAAGACGAUAGUCGUGGUGGACGUAACCUUCAGACUUGGUGUUUUUCAUAAUAAAAUGUUGGAGGGCAGGGAGUUAAAAAAUGAAAAAAGAAAUACCUUGGGGAGAGGGGACUCUGGAAACUCCUAGGCUGCCCAUGGUGUUGCACAGUGGCCGGCUACAGGUGACCCGGGUAACCAGCCUUCUACACCUCAUCUAAAGGCUGGGGCCAGCUCUGUCUAGCGGAGGAAGCUCAUACAGCAGCACCUAUGGGCCUUCUUUCCUAGGACAUAAGACAUUACCAAACAAGAGAAGUGCCUCAGGAAACAACUACAUCGGUGGGACGUGGGCAGUGGGUGGAGGCGGGGGGCUGCCUAGAUGAAGGCCUGAAGACUGAGGGGUGGGGUGAGGCACACGCGUGAGGUAAGAGACCAGGAGCCAUAGCUCCGAGAGCACGGGCCCUCCACUAUGAGCGUGAACUCUAGCUCUGUGACUCACCAACCUGUGACCUUGGGGCACUUACUUAUGCCUCAGUUUCCUCAUCUGCAAAGUGAAACAAUAAUGACCACCUCACAGAAGUGGUAAGGAUUAUGAGAAAAAAAAAGUAUACGUUCAUGUAUGUAUACGUAUAAAUAUACAUAUAUUUGUAUAUGUAUAUAUGUAAUAUAUAAUAUAUGAUAUAAAAAUGUAUAUGUGUGUAUAUAUACACAUAUUUGUAUGUGUGUAUGCAUAUAUUGUAUAUGUAGAUAUAUAGCUAUAUUUGUCUAUGUGUAUAUACGUAUAUGUAUAUAUUUGUAUAUGCGUAUAUAUGUACAUAUGUAUAUAUUUGUGAAAACACGUUUGUUGCCUGCUUUAUGUCUCUAGCUAUGGUUGGCCCAGCCGCCCACAUGUGUUUAUCCACACGGGUGUUGUUUCCUUGGGCUUUGAGAAUGCCAACAUUCUCAGCUGGGAUCACUCUGUCAGCAGGGCCCUACUGACCAAUCCUAGUGAGAAUGAGGUAGGAGCGGGUGGAGACAGAGGGCAUAAAAGAUAACAUUGAUUUUAGGCCUCCUUUUUCAUUCACUACACAUCACUGGAGCAGGCAGAACUGUGAAGCCUUCCCCAUUCCAUAAGGGUCAUCCGCCCCACCCUCUUAGGCCAUAUUCUUCCAACUUCUUGCCUGGUUAGGUGUCAGAGAACUGUCAUUUUGUCAAGGAAGCCAUCCUAAGUCUUCCCAUUAGACACUUCCAUAGGUAAGACAGUACUGUAAUUGAGAAUUAUUUCUCAUGAAGUUCACAGAAGGCAGGAAACUUGUCUUGUGCACCAUCUCCAGAGCCUAGCAGAACCCAACGUAUGCCGGCCCAUCAUCAAUUGAAUAACUAUUUUAAAAAGAGAACUAUUUAAUUGUCCAAAAAAAUAAAAAUAAAAAUAUUGUUAAAUGAAUUACGGCACACUCCUAACAGAAUAUUAUAUAGCCAUUCAAAAUUGUUUUUGACGAAUAAAUCUGUAAAAAUUAUAUUCACAUUUGUGUGUGUUUUAUAUAUAUAUAUAUGUAAAUAGAUAAAGAUAUAAGUACAGAUAAAAAAGACAUAAAGACACCAAAAUGUUAACAAGGAUUGUAUCUUGAUGAUAGGUUGAUUUUUACUUUCUUCUUUACACUUUUACUAUGUUUUCCAAAUUUUCCACAAUAGACAUGAAUUAAAUGUAAAAUUAAAAUUAUUUUUUUGAAAGGAAUAAUUCCUUGACUCAGUAUUUCUUUACUCUGAGGGAUCAAAUCAGAGAUGCUGAUAAAGAUUAUGUGCAAAGCUGUUCCUGGUAGCAUUACAUAGAACAGCAAAAGUAGGUAAAACACUUAGCAUGUACAGAGGAGAGAAUCAGUUAUGCCCAUCAACACUGAAAUAUAUCUAGCAGUUUGCAAAAGCGAUGUUGUGAAAGAAUGUUUAAUAAUAUUUAAAAAAGGUCACAGACAGUAAAGAAACAGGCAGGAACUACAACAUGCCCUGAAAAAUGCCCUUUUGAGUAAAAGGUUUCUACUUUAUGAGGAGUCCUAUUUGGUAUCUCUUCUUCAGUCUCAGCCACAUCUCCUCAAAUUUGUCAAGACCAACUAGGACCUGCAGGUGCUGCUGUGUGCGGUGGAGUUUGGGAAGGCCUCUAGUUGGGUCCACUGGACUUUGGGAGCUUAGCUCCUGACCCAAGUCAGUUCUCCUUACAGUCUUGCGGUUUGCUAGUUUAGUCUGUUAAUCUUCUGCAUCUUCUGCAUGGUGUUCAGUGAUUUCUUUUGUUUUUCCUAUCCACCCCUCUUUUUUCCACAUGAAAGAUUCAACUUUAUGAGCACUGAAUAUCUUAGGAAGGCCUUGUGAGUAGUUGAAGGAUAUACAAAAACAGUGAAUUUAGGCAGCUUAUAUGGCCAUACUGCAUAACCAUAUUAUUACAAAGCCAUGACACAGAGUGACAAAGACAUGCUGGCCUGUUAUAGCAAAUAAUUUUAACUAAUAAUUACGUCCAUUUGAAGGAAUUUGUAAAUGUUUUGCAUAAAUAUUAAUUCAGGGACUCAGGACAGUGAAUUUGUUUCUAUUGAAAUUAAUGUGAAAUCUCAAGGAAUUUCACGAUUACCUUCUAAGGCAGGGUAAGUAUACAUAUCAAAAUAUUCUAAUUAACUUUUUCCCCAUUUUUCUAUGAUGACCACACAUAACAAGAGAAUGGCAGAAAAUGCUGGUUGCCCACCUGCCAUUGCCCCCUUUCUUCCCACUAACAGAAUUCUGAUUUUGCUCAGCUAUCCAAGUGACCAGAGGAUUUCUCCAACUUCCUUGAUUACAGCAGCCUGAUGCUUUGCCUGGAUAAACAAAAGCUCUGAGCAAGGAAGAGACUUAAGGACCAGCAAGAGACAAGAAUUGAAACAGAGUUUAAACAAGCAUCAUAACCCCUGAAGCAAAUUUUAUCAUGAUUUCAAUUUGCAAAUAAAGAAACUAAGAUUUGGAGCUAAGUGAUUCACCUAAAGUGGUAGGAUCCUGGAAUGAAAUAUUUGUCCCUUCAUUCAAACUUUCACUAUUGGCUCACUAAUACAUGCUACUUCUCUAGAUAGCAAAUAAUCUGUCUUCGGAAAAAUCCAGAUGCAAAGACCCACCCUUACAGCCUUACUCAUCUAUAUUAAAUAAAUGUGCGACAGUCAGAAACACGGAGAAAGUACAGAAUAAACUUUUUAAAUACAGGAAGGUGAGGUGCAGGGGCUCAUGCCUGUAAUCCCAGCACUUUGGGAGGCCAAGGAGGGCAGAUUGCCAAGAGUUUGAGACCAGAUUGGCCAACGUGGUGAAGCCCUGUCUCUACUAAAAAUACAAAAAUUAGCCAGGCAUGGUAGUGCAUGCCUACAAUCCCAGCUUCUUGGGAGGCUGAGGCAGGAGAACUGCUUGAACCCGGGAGGCGAAGGUUACAUUAAGCCGCGAUCGCGCCACUGCACUCCAGCCUGGGUGACAGAGCAAGACUCUGUCUCAAAAAUAAAAAUACACGGCUCAUGUAUUUUUGAAAUAUAUGGUUCAAAAUCAAUGUUCUACAGAUUAAUACAGUCAACCUUUUUUGCCAGAAUGUAAUAUCCAACUAAAGCAUGGGAAAUUAAGUAUUUUCUUCAAAUUCCCAGAUCAUAUGGAUGUUAACACGUUAUAGAUUAAUAAGCACCAAAAAGUAAGCUGCCCAGUUUGAAAGAGGCUGUUUAAGAGCUUUUCUUAAUACUCAUUAAUAUUCACAUUCCAGAAAGUACAACAUAUCUCUGAGGCUCAGUAUAGUUCAGACAGAGGAAAAUGAGUAUUAAAAGUUAUCAUUUUUGCUAUUUUAUCAGUAAUAAUGAUACACUCCAAAUUUCAUUUUAAACAAGCCUAGUCUUCACUUUUUGUGAAUAGAAGAGCUGCAGUAUUCCCCAUUUCUUUAUUUAUUUUUUUUUUUGAUACAGAGUCUCCCUCUGUCGCCCAGGAUAGAGUGUAAGUGGCAAUCUCGGCUCACUGCAACUACCGCCUCCUGGGUUCAAGCCAUUCUCCUGCCUCAGCCUCCCGCGUAGCUGGGAUUACAGGGACCCGCCACCACACCUGGCUAAUUUUUGUAUUUUUAGUAGAGACAGGGUUUUGCCAUGUUGGCCAGGCUGGUCUCGAACUCCUGACCUCAGGUGAUCCUCCCACCUCGGCCUCCGAAGUGCUCGGAUUACAGGAGUGAGCCACCGUGCCCGACGCAGUAUUCCACAUUUCUAACAAGACAAUUUCCUCUUGACUCAGUCCAUCUUCCUAGCAGUCACAGAAUGCAGAUGAGUACUAAGACAUUGCACAUUUCAAAGUUCACUUCCUGCCUUGGCUUCUUCAAGUGUAAGUCAGGGAAGAAUUAAUCAUUGGAACAGCCUCCUGCUUUGCCCAAAAUAAAAAAGAGCUCUGAUUAAGGGAGAGCCAAAUGGUCAGCAAGAGAGAAAGAACUAACAACCCCAGACCUCCCCCUGCCCCCGCAACCCCCGCAUCCCUGUGAGGCUUUGUCAAAUGCUUAGGGAAGGAGGAUGCAGCCUAUCCUCUUCCCAACCCUCAAGAGGGUCCGCAGCACUUCACAAAAGCACCUGCCAGUGACAGAAGCCUGCUAGGGUUACCACAUUCGUCCCCUCAGUCGUCUAAGAUCACGCAGAAAUGCUUUUGUUUUUGGAACCUGCUGCGGCCUCAAGCGCAACAGUAAAAGGCCCUUUCAAAGGGCUGGUAAGGGAAGAGCCCAAACUGUUUUUUCUUAAUGAUAGGGCACUAGGAGCCCACCUUCUCCACCAAAACAACAUUAAUGGCGUGUGGGACUGCCUAUUCCACCCUCACGCGGUAACCGCGGCCCAAAGGCAGGUCUCCGCCCGCUACCAGUCCAGCGCCCCGACCUCUGGCACAGAGGCG
rnacentral:lncRNA from 1 species